rnacentral:rRNA from 1 species
AUUGAACGCUGGCGGCAGGCUUAACACAUGCAAGUCGAGCGGGGUGAUGGUGCUUGCACUAUCACUUAGCGGCGGACGGGUGAGUAAUGCUUAGGAAUCUGCCUAUUAGUGGGGGACAACAUCUCGAAAGGGAUGCUAAUACCGCAUACGUCCUACGGGAGAAAGCAGGGGAUCACUUGUGACCUUGCGCUAAUAGAUGAGCCUAGGUCGGAUUAGCUAGUUGGUGGGGUAAAGGCCUACCAAGGCGACGAUCUGUAGCGGGUCUGAGAGGAUGAUCCGCCACACUGGGACUGAGACACGGCCCAGACUCCUACGGGAGGCAGCAGUGGGGAAUAUUGGGCAAUGGGGGGAACCCUGAGCCAGCCAUGCCGCGUGUGUGAAGAAGGCCUUAUGGUUGUAAAGCACUUUAAGCGAGGAGGAGGCUCUUUUGGUUAAUACCCAAGAUGAGUGGACGUUACUCGCAGAAUAAGCACCGGCUAACUCUGUGCCAGCCGCCGCCGUAA